CCGGGAGCCAUUAGCCGUCAACAGAGCGCUCUGAACCUCUGCGCGUCGACGGCUCGAAUCUGCUGAUGACUUCAAGAAGAAACCUGCAAACACGGAGAACUUUCAGCGUCACCUUUUGUGCUCUUCGCCUGUCGGGGGGUCAGAGACUUCAGCACAUUUACCACGGUGUGUGUUUUAAAGUCGAGAUCAGCUCAAUAAUUGAACACACACUUCCACGUUUCGGUCCAAACUUCCUGAGCUCUGAUCCGGACUCACAGCUUCGGUGUAAAGUUGGUGGUGUGCUUUUCAAAGUGUCUAUUGUGUUUUGUGUCGCUACCUGCCAACCAAACUUAGGAUUGUUUGCUGCUUUCAUGUCAACACCCGGCCCUGCUGCUCCCCCCCCCAUUAUAUCAUUGUCUUCUUUUAAUCAUUCUGGCAGGGGGUAUGUAACAGUGGACACACGAGAGAAAAUGUGGCAGGAAGGAG